rnacentral:misc_RNA from 1 species
ACAAACUUGGUCAUUUAGAGGAAGUAAAAGUCGUAACAAGGUUUCCGUAGGUGAACCUGCGGAAGGAUCAUUAACGAGCGAAUAGCCGUGAAUUUAAUUGAAUUAAUAUAGCGGCUAUUUUCACAUUUCAACCCACUGUGAACAUUUUCCUGUUGCUUUGGCGGGACAUCAAAUUUCCGUUAAUGCUCUUGCUUUCUUUUCGUUUAUUUCUUGGUUCUUUAUUUUUUGGAAGGAGUGUAUUUCCCUCUAACUUGGAAGGGCUUAUUGGAUAUGCGAAAGAAAAGAUUGAGAGUGUCGGGGGAUUUUUGGCUUUGGAUAAUUUUCCGUUUUGGAGAAGUCUUUCCAAAGAGGUCCCGCCAGAGAUUUUAUCGAGAAUUUCAUAUAGUCUUUUUUUAAUACAAUUCUCAAAAAUUUGUUAAAAAAUUUAAAACUUUCAGCAACGGAUCUCUUGGCUCUCGCAUCGAUGAAGAACGCAGC